UUGCCUGGUAUUUUUACACAUAUAGUGGAACGAAUGACUAUAAUGCGUAAGUUUAAGAGUUUAUAAUAAUAUAAACAUUACUCUGGUCGGUGUCAAUAAAGCUGUCAGACGAUACAGUGGUGCAGCUACAAACGUGUUAUUAUAUGCAAUCGAGGAAGCCAAUCAAUACACUCGGUAAAGUGGUGGCAUGGAUCGCAGUUAAUACCAUUGUUAAUUUUGAAUUAGUUUAUAAGUUUAUUGUAACACUCACAUAUCAAUAUCUUGAGUCAAAUAUAUUUUCAUUGACAUUUUUUUCAUUUUAA